UACGGCGGGUGCAAGCGUUACUCGGAAUUACUGGGCGUAAAGCGUGCGCAGGCGGUUUGUUAAGUCCGUUGUGAAAGCCCCGAGCUCAACUUGGGAAUUGCAGUGGAUACUGGCAGGCUGGAGUACGGUAGAGGAAGGUGGAAUUCCCGGUGUAGCAGUGAAAUGCGUAGAUAUCGGGAGGAACACCAGUGGCGAAGGCGGCCUUCUGGACCAGUACUGACGCUCAUGCACGAAAGCGUGGGGAGCAAACAGG
rnacentral:rRNA from 1 species